AGAGUCAUAGUUUUACUUCUGUAUUUAAAUUGAUUCACUGCUCACCAUUGGUCUUAUCACAGUUUCUACAUCAUUUAUUGCCCACUUUCUAUCAUUAAGUACAAGGAGGGUCCAUAGUACUCCUAUUCCAUGAAUUCUUUCCUAUGGAAAGUUUUCAGUUGAUUGUCUGCCUCCAAGAUUAGACUGAGUGGGCAUCGUUCUUAGGUCUUAUUUUACCUUGUUUUUAGAGGUGACAAACUGGUUACCAACCAGCCAGGCCAGCUAACUUUGGCGGAGGCCAUCGAGAGGACAUGACCUUGGGUCCACCCUUAAGCUGGACGCGGGCAACCAGAGGCUCCUCCCUUGUCUUUGGAAUGUACAUUCUGCCCACCAUUAUCACACUGUUUCAAGGACGUACGCUUGAGAGAGUGUGUUGCUGUUGAGGCUAUUUGGUCUGAAUACGUGACUAUAGCCGGUUAAGGCCUCUGUAUAAACUUAAGAUUCUGACAGCAGGUGCAGAGAUGUACGCGGCUUCUCUCGCAGUUGCUGAAGACAAGUCUUGUAAAAUCCUUCCUCUUCUGUUUCUUUGGCUUGGUUGUUGUCUUUUGGCUCGACACCCACCAAGAGGCGAACCCAGUUUCAGAUAACAGAGCUCUGCAUGUGACAUCUCCUAUCAUACAGGACUUUUGAUACACAGGUUACAUUUCUGUGUAGUAAUAUCACCAGGCUUAUGCUGACCACAAAUGCUACUUUUCAAUAAGAAGCUUCUCCUGACUCCAAGCAAGGCCCCUAUCCCUUUCCUUGGAUCAUAUAAGGUUCAUGCUGCCUCACUUAAUUUCACGUCUGUGUGGAUUCCAGAUUGCUGACCGAAAGGAUAAGGAGAUGAAGAAUGUAAAAGAAACGUGAAAAGAUGUGGAGAAUAGAACUAGAAAUUCUUAAACUCAUCAAUAGUAGUGACAAGAAGUAAGAAAUGGAUAACCUGGAAAAAAGGAACUAUAUAAAAAAUAAUCAUCUAAAAUAUUUCAGGUCUGAGGAAAGAUGAUUCUUCAGAUUGAAAUGAUGCACAAAUAUUUCUGAAUUAAAGAAAGCCCAAACUUGACUACCUUGUUAAAAAUUUUCAACACAGAAAUAAAGAAGUCUAAAAGCUACCAGAGAGAUUAUACACAAAGGAAUGACCUCCAGAUUGCUGGUAUACUUUUAUUAAGAAUUUUGAACAUAAGAAAGCAAUAGAACAAUGUAUUUGAAAUACUGAGAAAAAAAUUAACACAAUGAUUCUGACUCAUUCUGAUUAUCACUUCAAGAUCAAGAGUAAAGAUAUUUUCAACCUAUAAGUAUUUAAAAAGUUUACCCCAUGCAGUAUUUGUUCAAAAUAUCACUAGAAAAUACACUGAAGCAGGAAGAAAAAAUAAAGCUAAGAUAAAAAAUAAACAAAUAAUAAAAUAAUUAAAAAUAAAAUAAUAAUUAAAAAAUAAAAAUAAUAAAAAAGAGUUCGGAAGGAUUAUAUGACAUGUGUUAUCAUUUUUAACUGAAAUGUAGGUUUUCAUACAGUAUCAUUCAUAUAGAUAUAGACAGAGAUACAACCUAAGAGUGAAAGUUCACUCUUAAAUGUCAAAACACAUCUUUAAUUUUAUCAAGAAAAUGAAAUGUUUGCAGUGGAGAAAACUCUUAAUGGCCAUUGUCAAUUAAUAUUCAUUGUUAAUGAAACACAUAUCCAAUUGAUAGAAUAAAGAAUUCUAUGUCUUAAUUGAGGUAUCCUAUAAAAAUUCAUGUUAUGACAAAUGCAAACUUUUUCACAUAUGUGAAAGUAUAUCAAGUAUUAAAUGUCCAGUGUUAUGGGAGUCAUACAGAAUUCCUUUAAAGUUAGUAUAUUAUCGUAGAGACACUAAAUAAAUGAAAUAAAAAAUCAAGUUGAAUAAAAAAUAACAAUGCCAAUGAUGUCUCAAAGCAAUAUCAAGGUUAAACGCCAAUCACAUGAGAGCUAGGACUACUUGUCUCUUUGAAAGAUAACUAUAUGUAAAAUUUUGGUACACCUCUUAUGCAAUAAAAAAUAAUAAACUAUUUACAAUGUACUGUUAAACAUAACAUCUAAAAGGAAAGUAAAUAUUGUCUGGGCAGAGCCACAAACUAGUCAUUUGUUGUUAAAUUUCCAUGUUAUGCAUAACUAUCCCAUUAGUUUCCUUGGUGGGUAGAUGAAAUUUCUUUUUUUUUUUUUAAGUUUAUUUAUUUAUUUUGAGAGAGAGAGAGAGAUAGAGAGAGUGCGCACAUGCGCCUUGGCAGGGGAGGGGCAGAGAGAGAGGGGGAGAGAAUGCUCAAGCAGGCUCUGCAUUACUAAUGCAGAGCCAACACGAGGCUGAAACUCAGGAUCUGUGAGAUCAUGACCUGAGCUACAAUCAAGAGUGAGAUGCUUAAACUACUGAACCACCCAGUUGUCCCAGUAUGUGAGAUUUCUGAUGUUUCCUCACUGUAUAUCUAGCAGCCACCGCUUCUCCAUUUCCACCAAAGCUUUCCAAAUCCAUCCUUCUCAGUUACUUUAAAUACACCCUAAAUACACUAUUGCUGGAUUUUUCUUCAUGAAUCACACCACUGAGCAUCCUAUACAAAACCCCGCAAAAGCUAUUUGUUCUUUAUAACUUUAGGUCUAAAUUCCUUAGUGAGGAUUUCAAUACCCUAAACACUGCCCUCUAAUUAUUGUCUCAACUGCUAAUUAUGUUCUUUACAAAUUGAAAUGUAAGUGUACUCCUUAUAUACCUUUUACUUCCAAGACAUUAAAUUUGCCCCUUUGUUCAUGGCACUUCCUUUUCUGGGAGCUUCAUUCCCUACCUAUUCACAAGUCCAACUUGUACUUAAUGCUCCAAGGUUCAGAGCAAGUGACACCUUCUCCAUCAACCAUGCAUUGAUUCCUGAGAUGGAAGUUCUUUCUGUCUUCUCUGGAAUACCAUUUUUUUUCAUGGAGAGCAAAAAAAAAAGUCUUUCAUAUUUGUUCAGUCCCUAAUAUGUGUUAUAACUAUAUUAGGGACUUCACGUAUAGUGUCUCAUUAACAAAAAAAAUACAUAUUUUAUAGCUGAAGAAAAUGAGUCUGAUAUGGGUUAAGUACCCCAUCCAAAUCGAUCUAUCUCAUAAAUUGAGGAAGUGACCAAAGUUGUCAAAGGGAGGGAUCUUAUAUUCUUGUAUAUUAAGCUCCAGAGAUGUGUAUCUGUGCAUGAUUUGUUAAGCAUAGAUGAAGUUUAGGAAUGAAGGUGGUAGGUGUAGAGAAAACAUUAAUGUAGUUAAAUUCAUAAAAAGAAUUGUAUACAAGAUCAAGAGAAAUUCUGUGCUGAGUAAUAAGGAGGAUCAACAAAAAGUGAUUACAGGAAGAGGAUGGGCAGACCUAUUCCAUUCUUAUCUCUAGAAGAGUGAGUUUCCCCCCAGGUACUGAUGAUUUUAACAAUCAAACUUCAGGCUUGGUUGAUUUGCAUUCCACUGAAAUUCUGAAUCUGACAUUCAAGCUAAUGUUUGCCCAAAUGAUUUUCAUUACAUUACUUCUAACUUUCUGAAAAUGUGCAACUACCUAUCUAUAAGGUACCUUUAAAGCGGUAUCCUUAUCUGACAUUAAUCCUUCAUCUCCUAGUAGGAGCUUCAAAAAUGUUUGAGUAGCUUAAACAUUUUUGGAUUAUUAUCUAGGCUUGGAAACAGUGAUAAUAACCUCCAAGUGACUGUGACCCAAACCUGAUGGUAACAUAAGGUUCUGGAGAACAGGCAGAUACUGACCAUUUUAUCAUUCCAUCAACGUUAGUCAAAAAGGAAGACAGGCAGAAAGCCAAUUUUUCAUUUGUGCUCAGAAUAACACUUAGAUUAGUGGUGGACAAUCUAACUAAAUCCCUUAAAACAAUUUUGAAUGGAUUUCAGAUAAAGUCUUCAAAAGCCACAUUAUCUUACUUCCCUAUAAUACCUUUAUAGUUACAAAAGUAAAAAUGUGUUAUUUCAUUUAAUAUACCUAGUUAUCUUAGAGUAUUUAAGUAUUUUAUAUAUUAAAAUAUUUUGCAGCUAAUUUAUAAUCAGCAGAUAAAAACAUAUUACACAGAUAUUUCUAUAAAACAAGUCAGCGAUAUAUGGAAUUAUGGUGGAUCACACUGUGUUUUCAACUUUAUCCUGCGAAAUUAUAGUCAUGAAGCAAGAUCAGAGCUCUCUGCAUUUGAUUUGCAUGGCCCUAAGCCUAGCAAGGUUAGCAGGAUAUAGAAAGGGAGAAAUGAUUGCCUCAUUUUCAGGUGAGGCUUCAUGGCAACGGAUACCACAAGUGAAAGGCCUUCAUGCAAGAUUUAGAAAAAGAGAUGGAGAACAGCUAGUUACGUGACAUUUUGCUGGCCACUCCCAGCCUAUACAAUAGGAUUGAAGAAAAUAAGGGCAGAAUUGGAGGUUAGGAGAAGGUUCUGGAGAGAGUUGGUGGGUUUUUAAGUCCCACCACUCACCACCUUCACUCUAAGAGGUAAUAUAGGAAAUGGUUUCCUCUCAUCAGCCUGUGAAAAGGGUUUCAGUGGGGCUUAGUGCAACCAAUUGGAGAGCUUAAUAUAUGGCCUCACAAUUUUACAGACACAGUGAACAGUCUGACUCACCUGGCAAGUUGAAAGGGCCAAAGACUGACUGGAUCUUUUGAUGAUGAACACAGAAGAAAUGCUACAUUGGAGACUUCUGGAAUUUGUUGGAGCAAAUUUGAGUAUUUCCCAAUGUCUAUACAUGGGCUACAUACAACAGCGUACUGGUAUGUUGUUCUUAGAAACUAUAGGGAAAUACUGACACUAAUGUCGAGGGAAAAGCUCUGGAUUAUCAGAACCUAAGAACCAAGCUAUAAAUACCAGAUCCACUUGUCUACAUCAAAAGAAGGAUCUACAGGUAAAAGGUGCUGAGUUAAGAGAAAAUUUUUUCAAGAGACCUUGAAGAUACUCGUGAAAAGAAGUAGUUUAAACAGCUCCAAGUGCUAGGUGGGUAAGCCAGUGCCACCUUGGAUGUUGCUGGUCAAACAAGACCUUUCCUGAUAUCAUUCCUUCCCCUGCAGUUGAUAAGAUGAAGAACAAAGAGAAACCUAUGCAAGGAAAAUGAGAAGAUGCCAAAUAUGCCCUUUGCCAUUUCAGUUAUCUAUAAAAUUGAGAGAAAAAAAGAGUAUUUUUAAGUGAAUUUUCAAGAGUUGAUUAUUAAUAAAACUGAGUAUCUGAAUUUUUUGAACCAAUACUAUAUUUUACCUAAGGGACAGCAAAGACUUCAUGGACUUUGCCUGGAUUUUCAUUCAGAGGAUAAACUAGUGCCUUGGAUUAAAUUAAAUUUAAAUUUAAAUUUAAAUUAAAGCUGAUUUCUAUUAUACCAUUGGAUACCUCUGGUACAUUAUUAGUUUCAAAGGCACAUUAGAAGAAAAUAAUUUUUAAAUGCUUUCCAUAAACAGUUUGUCUGUACUUAACAAUGGAUUCUCAACCAAUAUGUGAGGACUCUUUUACAAUGGUGAUGCCCCUUUUCCAUUGUAAUUAUUGGGAGGCUCAUUACUUGCAUUCAUUUUGGAAAAUUUCUAGAAAUAUAAUAACAUGUUUUCUGAAGUCCAUUGUUAUUUUCAGAGUUGAUAUAAACUUCCUUUCUAAUGAACACUGACAAGGUAAACCCUAAUAUGCCAGAAACAAUAGAACAUAUCUUCAAUGCUGAAACUCAUCUGAAAUUCAUUUUGCUCCAAAUUAACACUAAAUGUCACUUUGGUCAUAUUGAAGUGAUACUAUCUAAUAAAUAGGACUAUUUUUAGUUAAUUUUAAAGUAGUCAUCAUUGUAACAGUAUAAAUGAACUUAAAAAAAGAGAGCUUAAUUUCUAUUGUUAUUUCUUUUUGUUAAUAAAAUCCAACCUCUGUCAAGAGUUUUCUUUAUUGUUUUUGCAGUGUAGCAAAGUACACAUUGCAUAUCUCUGCAGUAUUUAACAUGCUUUGGUAAUACCCUGGAACCUUAUUGUAGCACACUGAACAAUGGAUCAAGAUUUGGCAUAAGGAGGCUAUUUCCUUGGUAUCACCUAAGGAAAUCUAUUUACUGGAGGACCAAAGGAUCUUGUUAAUAAGACCUAUAAGGCAGACAACCUGGACUCAGAGGAUAGAGGUAUUGGAAGUCUUUACUAUAAGUAUACCAUGGUUUCUCAGUUUCUCCUUUACUUCUAAAUCAUUUGCCUUCAGGAACCCUAUUUAAAUUUUUUUAUAAGGUGCACCUGGGUGGUUCAAAUGGUUAAAUGUCCUACUUCAGCUCAGGUCAUGAUAUCAUGGUUCAUGAAUCUGAGCCCUGUAUUGGGGCUCUGUGCUGACACCUCAGAGCCUGGAGCCUGCUUCAGGUUCUGUGUCUCCCUCUCUCUCUGCCCCUCCUCCACUUACACUCUGUCUCUCUCUCUCUCGAAAAUAAAUAAACCCUAAGAAAUAUAAAAAUAAAAAUAAAUAAAAUUUUUAUAAGUUUAUUUAUUUUUUUUGAGAGAGAGGGAAAGAACAUGAGUGGGGGAAGGGCAGAGAGAGGGGGAGAGAGAGAAUCCCAAGCAGGCUCUGUGCUGUCAAAGCAGAGCCCAAUGCUGGGCUUGAUCUCAUGAACCAUGAAAUCAUGGCCUGAGCUGAAAUCAAGAGUAGGAUGCUUAACUGACUGAGCCACCCAGGCACCCCCAGGGACCCAAUUUAAAAUUAACAAUUGACAUUCCUCUACUCAGUUUAUCUUUUUUCCAAAAUGCAUGUUCUUAAAUUAUAUUUUUCUACUAAAUUUGGAAAAUUCUAUUGAAGAUAGUAAUAUUCUAUAUUUACUCACUUGAAAAUAGCACAUAGUUGAAUGUAAAAUAGCAAAAAUAAGACUAGAGGAGAGAGACAAUUUUUCUGUUAACUUUGGUUUAUCUGUUAUGUAAGUAUAGCACUGCCAUUACACUGAAUCAACAAUAUGACACAGAUUCAUCAUUAAGCCUCAUUAAGAGGUUAGAACUAGCGGGAAUUUUUUCAAAUGAAUGACAUGUUUUACAAGGAAGGAGAGAUAAUUUUGAGAAGGUUGUACCCUUGAUAUGCUUUAAUAAGGGUAUCUAAAAUAGAAUUUAGUGGGGAAAAAAGGGAGCUGGAACAGAUAAGAGGGAAAAACAGCAAGGUUUACUUGCUUGAUGACCUUAGCAGAUAAAAAAAGAAUUUUGAGGAGUCAAAAAUUUUGAAGUUCAGAGACAAGGAUAAUUUUAUGUACUGCUAAGAAUAAUCAACUUGGGAAUAAUAUAUACAUGGAAGGUGUGAUGAGACAUUCAUAUAUAGACUUUGCAAAAGAAGUAGGGAUUAUUCUAAAGAAGAGAGCAUGAUAGUCUAAGGUCAUCUAAGAUUAUGUAUGCGAAGAUACUAACUAGAACCUGGAGUUGUAAUCAUGGUCCAUGGAAAGUGAUGAAAGUACUCAUGCUUUAUGGAGAAUGAUUAACUUCCUCAUGUUAAUUUUAUUCUCACUAGAAACAGAAGGUGGGCAUCCUGCACUCUUACCAGAGUCCAUGCACUGUUAACCAGUUAAAUAAUCUUUGUCACUUCAGGAAAAAACAUGUUCCAUUCCUCUACUUCUCCUUCCGUGGCCCUGACAUUUAAGUGACUAGAACAGGAAAAAGGUUGUUUAUAUCCAAUUUCUCUCAUUCUUCACUUUCUAUCACUGCAAAUUAUUUUUUGAAAAAUUUUGACCUCUUUUUACCAGUAUGAUCAGUUGUGAUACAAUAGUUUUCACAGCAUUUUAUAUUUUAAGGUGAUUUAAUUUUGGAUAGCAAUAUGAGACCAUAGUUAACAACCCCAAAAUAUAGGUGAAAAUCUCUCUUCCAUCCCAGUUCCCCAUCAACCAGCCCUGUUCUUCAAUACUGCCAAUAGUAAACAUUGUUACUAGUUCCUACCCUCCCUUUUAUUUACUUCCAGAGUGUCUUUAUGAAUAUACAUACAAAUAUAAAUACAGAUUAUGUCCCACCAUUUUAACAAAAACUCAUGUCUAUUAUACACAUCAUUUUGUAUCUUGCUUUUUAUUACUUAACAAUAUUCCUAUAUGUAGAAAAUGUCAUAAUCCUUUUGUAUAUCUUUCUUUUUGGUGUAAUUUGUUUAACUAAUCCUCAAAUGACAGACAUUCAGUUUAUUUCCCAGUGUUGUCACUACAAAUAAUGAUAAAAUGAAUAAACUUAUACAUUACCAUUUCCUAUUUCUGCAAAUAAAUAUGUAGAUUAAACUCCAAUAAUAGAGAUGGUUUUUCUGGUUUUUCAUUUCUACAGACCAAAAACAGAGUCAAUCUAAAAUG